rnacentral:rRNA from 1 species
UGCGGAAGGGGCUAGCGUUGUUCGGAAUUACUGGGCGUAAAGAGCGCGUAGGCAGCUUACCAAGUUGGGGGUGAAAUCCCGGAGCUCGACUCCGGAACUGCCUUCAAAACUGGUAGGCUCGAGUCCGGAAGAGGGGCGUGGAAUUCCCAGUGUAGAGGUGAAAUUCGUAGAUAUUGGGAAGAACACCGGUGGCGAAGGCGGCGCCCUGGUCCGGUACUGACGCUGAGGCGCGAAAGCGUGGGGAGCAAACAGG